UCACGAAUUCAGCAACAUCUGUUGUCCGAGAUGUUAAGUUACAGGAAAUCACAUCAGAUACUGAAAUAACUGUAGCUGGAAACCGGAAACAAGAUCCAAGGACUGAUGAGGUGGCUGGCACAAGAUCCAUAAACUAUAAUGCUUGUUUAGUGGCAGAAAAAUCAACUUAUCAAUAGUCAUUCAGCAAUGCAUAUGUGCAGUGCGAGAUGACGUUUCAAAUGAAUCACUCCAACUUAUCAAGAAU
rnacentral:lncRNA from 1 species